UCUCUGUGGUAAGGCCGGCCACUCACCAGGUCAAAGUGCAGCCAUCAAGGCUAAAAUAUAUGCAAUUCCACCCAGGCUCACUCAUUAGAAGGUGAAUUUAUUUUGAUAGUUGGGACCAUUCCCAAAUAAACAACAAAUAAAACCUCAGCCUUACAGGACAAGCUAAGUAGAUGACGCUGGAAAAUACCAUUUUUCCACAACAAACAGUCUACUAACAACCAACUGCAGUAACAAUCUUGUCUAGACGCCUGCUUCAUGUACUCAAUUAUAAUUUUUUUGAGAUGGGGAAAAUCUGAAUUAAGAUUAAAAUGUGAAAUUAGCACUCAUUUUUAAGGCACGGGAAUGGCAUUCUUGUCAUAUAAGAUAGCGUUAGUGUUUUAAUAGUCUCCUAAUUAAAUAUUUAUAUUGAAGAGGACUGGAAUAACAUGACAGAGUCACUAGGAUUUGUGUUAAAAGAGAAAAAAAGGCAAAAAGAAGGAUAGCUGGAACAAGAGGCUGAGAAUCACAGUUGUUGAAUCCAGCCCAGGAAUAUAGGCAGCUAGCUAUACUAUUCUCUCCAUUGAAAGCAUGCGUGGAACAAUUAAAAAACAGUUCCGCCGAAAUAAAACUAGUUUCUUACCAUUUGCAGUUCCUGAAACAUCUCUAGGUGGAAAGCUCUCAUCUCUUGUUAAUUCUUCCUUCAAGCUAAUGCAUAGGAGACAGCCUCCAUCUGUGUACCACGGAUACAUCACCUGCUCUUUCUGACAUAUUACAGCUGCAUCAGGAAAGUGAUGGGUGUGUCUAAAGUGUGUCCUCUGUACUCAUGUUAAAGACCCAACCUUAGUGCCUCAGAAAGUGUAUCUGUAAAAAUAUAACUAAGGUGAAAGGACCUUAUGUGGGCAGCUAUGGAGCUUUGUGUUUGGGGAUAUAGAGUUUUCUGGGAAGGUGAUUAGGUUAGAUUGAGACAGUGGGUAGACAUUAGCAUAGUUGGUGUCUUUGUGAUAAAGAGAAACACCAAGGCACAAAGACAGCAACCAUAGAGACAGCUAGAGGUGACUAUCCACUGGCCAGGCACUGAGGCUUCAAAGGGGACCAGUCCCACUGGCACCUUGAUCAUGAACUUCAGCCUUCAAAGCAGAAAGAUGGAAGUUUGUAUGUUUGAACCUUUAGCCUGUGGCCCAGGCAUACUGGUCCAGGAUGGGAUGGAGGUGGGGGCCUGCAUUCAUUAGCUGCUGGAGGGCACCCCAGGCUGCUCUCCCUUUUCCCAACAAGAACUUCACUCCUUGCUAGGAUCUCCCCUCCUGUUCUCUUUGUUUCCAGAGUACAGGAGUGAAACCAUGGCUCUGGUUGUCUUGCAUCAGCCAAAUUGCUGCCUGAACCCCGGAUUGUAACUUCUCCUUCCAGAACUUACCAUAUCUCGUUCACACACAAAUUACCCCUGGGAGAUUAUAGAAAUUUAAAAAUAAAUAAAUAAACUUCUUGAGGGAUUACAAUACAAUAGUAGCCUAUAAUUCUUCUUUCAUUGCUACUGAAAGAGAAAUGGUGCCCAAUAAGUAAAGCCUUUAUUAUAUCUUAGAAGAAAGAAAGCUCUUAUUUCUGGUUCAGAGAUUCAACAUCAUGGCAUUUAUAAUUAUAUUCUGGAGUCAACAUUGUUAAAAAUUUGGGCUUUCAUGCUAAAAAGUGAUUUUUUAAAAAAAAAAUAUAUAAUUACCUACUAAUUCUUCCCAAAUGGUAUGACUUGCCUUUUUUCUCUCUUUUUUUGAAUCAUAACUCAUCUUAAACAAUCUAUUUUUUUUUCUUUUUAGAGGAAGUCUAAAAUAACACAUGGGUGUCUCGGCCUUGGCACAGCUAAACCCUGGAACAUUGAACUGAAGUCAUAACAAUGGGUAAUAUUUUAAUAUAAUGAAAAAUUAUCAUUAACUUUUCUCGACAGGAAGGAAAUGAAUUUUCCUCAUUGUACACAUUCCGAGAAAAAUGAGGCUAAGACUAUUUCAAAGGAUGUUCUACCUAAUUCGAAUGGGCUUUAAGUGCCAUCUUCACAAUAGCGCCAGAGUCUGGUGUCAGCAAACUGAACAAAUAGAGCUACAGGGAGCGAAUGGGGCUGGGUGCCUCUCCAAAACAUAUGCAGAUGAACUUGAGAUUUCAGAGGACGGUUAAUCCUACACAGCAGUCAAGUGCCUUCCCAGGGGGCUCCCUUCCAAACACUGGCUGCCACGUCAAACCAAAGGGGACGAGCAAUCAGACUCACCUCAAACGCCAGUUAAGAAAGCCGGCCUUACUUAAGCAAUCAAGGGCAAGUGAUCAGCCAACUCUGCUUUCUUUCCUUUCUCUUGGAUCAUUUAUAGACCUUGUGGCCGUGGCCACCACAUUGAGAAGCCCUUGGUCUCUACUUGGACUCACUAUAGCAGAGCAUCCUGGCAGGCAUCCACUGUGCCAUAUGCUUUCGGGAAGUCUGGAUGCUGAAUGUGGUGGCUGUGGGGAAUUGAGCCUUAUUGCUUCAUAAGAUUCCUGGUGGUAGAACUAUUCUGAACAAGAACACGUCCGUCCCCAUAGGUGUGCUCCAAGAAUCACAGAAUAAGAAGGGACUUCGGAGAGAGCCUCACACAGUUGGGCAAUGGGAGCCCAGAGAGGCAAGGAAGGCUCCUUGCCCAAAGUCUUGUACAUCUGAAUCUGCAACUCCUGACUAUUUUUGAGUCUUAUGCUCCAGGCUAAAACUUGUGACUUUAAGUGUGAUGUUCUCGGUGAUGAUUAAUCUAGGAUGUUUCUGUUGUUUUCUUACCGUCAAAGAAUUAACAUCAAAAGGAAAGGAAGGAAGAAAUGUAGAAGUGAAGGCAAGAAGGAAGGAAGGAGGAAAGGAAGGAAGGAAAAUAUAGGCUUUGGGUAAAAAUAAGUUUCUACUCAACACUGACAAAGGUACAGGUUUUGGACAUUGGUUUCCUAAUCUGUAAAUGAGGAAUAGUCAUCACAUCGCUGUCCUGGCUGGUUUUGUGUGUCAACUUGACACAAGCUGGAGUUAUCACAGAGAAAGGAAAGAAAAUGCCUCCAUGAGAUCUAGCUGUAAAUGGAUUAGUGAUCAAGAGUGGGAGGGCCCAGUGUGGGUGGUGCCAUCCCUGGACUGGUGGUCCUGGGUUCUACAAGAAAACAAGCUGAGCAAGCCAGGGGAAGCAAGCCAGGGGAACAUCCCUCCACGGCUCUGCAUCAGCUCCUGCUUCCUGCCCUGUGUGAGUUCCAGUCCUGACUUCCUUUGGUGACGAACAGCAAUGUGAUAGUAUAAGCUGAAUAAACCCUUUCCUCCCCAAC
rnacentral:lncRNA from 1 species